rnacentral:lncRNA from 1 species
AAAAUUUUUGCAUGGUAAUUCACCCUAGGCCACAAUUGUGCCUCCCUCAAAGCCCUAACCAAUUUUGAAACCUCUACCACACUUUUCCGAAAUUUCUCAUGACCAAAAGUUUUGAAAAUGUGAACCACACCCAAAAUUUUUCCAAUGCCAAUACAUAGCAAGCCUCUAAUAGUUCACAAGCCUAUGAAAAUGAUCAACCAAUUCAUUUUGAGGGUCAAAACAAG